CAGUCGCCGCGGGAAUACGUAGGUGGCAAGCGUUAUCCGGAAUUAUUGGGCGUAAGGCGCGCGUAGGCGGUCUUUUAAGUCUGAUGUGAAAGCCCACGGCUCAACCGUGGAGGGUCAUUGAAAACUGGAAAACUUGAGUGCAGAAGAGGAAAGUGGAAUUCCAUGUGUAGCGGUGAAAUGCGCAGAGAUAUGGAGGAACACCAGUGGCGAAGGCGACCUUCUGGUCUGUAACUGACGCUGAUGUGCGAAAGCGUGGGGAUCAAACAGGAUUAGAUACCCCUGUAGUCCCUGUCUCUUAUAC
rnacentral:rRNA from 1 species